CGCAGCGGGGAAUCCCCCGCCCCGCCGCAGCCCCGGGCGGUGCGAGCGGUGGCGACGCCGAGGGGGACGUGGACCCUUGGUAGAGAAGUGGGAGUGAAGACCCUCGGACCAGUAUCCCGUGGGCUGGACCUCCCCGUGUGGGGAUGGCAGCCGCUGGACCCUCGUUCUAGGACGUGGGGACGGGACCAGCAUCUCUGCAUCGCAUCCCUGCUCCAGAGGCGGCGGGGGCUGACCCCCGCUGUGGGCACGGCGACGGGAUCCCGAGGGUCUGGAUGUGGCUGUGCCGUUGCCGUGAGACUGCCCCUCGGAAGCGGGGCAGAUUACCUGGGGAGGUGGGAGGCACUUCUUCAUCUUCGCCUUGUGAUACAGGUUUUCCAAGCCACAGUCUUUUGGAGGAUUGAAUUGUUCUUGCAGCUGAAGUCCCUUGCCAGAAAGUUCUACCAUCUGAUUGCUUCUUGUGUAUGGAGAGUAAUAGGACACUGAGACAGUGAAGCUGUUUUUACCAUGUGAGGCAGCAGUUUCCCUUUUCAUACCACCAUGGCAGCUGAACAGCAUGGAAUGAGAAAAGGCUCAGUCUCUGUAAUGAAGUCAAUAUCUCCUCAUCUCUGAAGAAUAAGAGGAAUUUCAACCAAGAGAGCAGACUGGCUUACUUUAAUUUCUCAUUUUAAUUUCUAUUUUGUGUUCCUCAACACGUACAUUACCUGCAUUUUUGGCAUUCACUAGGGGAUAAAUUAGCUCAAGAUCCUGCUUAUAUGACUACUUCAGCAUUUAUAUGUUCUGAUCAACCUAUACUUGACAUGUAACCCAUACUCCUGAAUUUGUUGUAAAGACUUCUAUGGUACUUGUGUUCUCCAGACCAGAUCCUGUUUUGUUAUUUCAGUUUAAAACCACAGCACUUGCACUGAAACCUUAACAUUUUAUAUCUCCAUCCACAUCUAUGAAAUUUGUGAUUCACUUGAAGUAUUUUGUAUUUGCACUUGAAUAAGUUGAAUAUGACUGUAAAGAAAUUUAUUGUGUAGAUUUACUCCACCAAAUAACCACAAUGGUUAUAAAUCUUUCAAAACUCAGGUUAAAUGAAUUUAUAGUCUGAUGCUGAUAUUUUAAGGCACAAGUUCUGGAAGCUGUUUUCUAAUAGACCUCAGGUUACUAUUAUGUAGAUUUUGCUCAUUUUUACUUGACUGUAAUAGACAGACUUAAUUUGUGUCUUCUGAAUUUUAUGUCAUAAAUGCAAUCAUAUAGAAACUUCACAUUUGAACAGAGUGGGACCUUUGACUAAGAGGAAGCAUAAGUUACAUGCAUUGAAAGACAAGGGCAUUCAAAUAGUUUCUACUAGUCAUUCCUCAAAAGAUAAAAUUAUCUGAUCAAAUAUUUAAACCAUCUUGAAAUGUUCAACAAAACUGUAUGGGUGAAAACUGCAGUUGACUUCUGAUUAACUUUGUAAUUUUAUAAAUUUUCCCCUCAUUAAUUCUUUACAUAAAUGUGGUUAGCAAAAGGCUAAGUUAGACUAAUUCAGGCAGGCAUGUUUUAAGGUAACAUCUAUAUUUUAAAAGUUUAUAAUUUUCUCAAUAAUGUGAAAAAAGCCUUGGGCAACAUAAUAAACACUCUAAUUAACAGUCUAAGACA
ensembl:lncRNA